ensembl:lncRNA osteocalcin 2-like
AGGAUAUAUAAGCAGUAGCCAAUUCUGCACGGAGGUCAGAUGUAUUUCUGCACUGAAACGGAGAGUGAUUACAUGUGCACAGAGUCCCAUAGAUUUUAUUAAGGAAGUAAGAAAGAACUAGAAACAGAUCUGGUGCUACAGAAAACGGACAAGAAACAAUCAGAGAUGGAGCUUCUGACAACCGCCUUCGCCAUCAUUCUUCUGUCUACAACAGCCUCCGCUAAUCCGAUUGGUUGGCGACAGCAUCAUGAUGCUGAGAUUGCUGACAAUGACCUGAUGCAAGGAAGGCUGGAAGGGAAUACCAGGUGGCCUUCUACUGAAUCUUCCAGCUACAAAGACUCGUCUUCAGAGUCGAAUCAGUCACCGGAGUCUUCGGAAUCUUCAGAAUCUUCGGAAUCUUCGGAGGAGUCCUCUGAGGAGGUUUUAAUCACCGACCAGACCACAACGGUCAUUACCACCACUGCCAUGACAACCAUCACUAUGAUAAAAGGGAGUAUGGCCACCGCUGAGCCAGACAUGAUGAGCACAGAUGAGCCAAGGAAAACCGCCUCGCCAGGAACACCGACCACACCUGAUGCUGCCACGUCACCUGGAUGUGUGACUCGUUGUUUUACAGAGGAGAUUCCAACGGCAGCUCCCUUCACUGAAGACAGAGGAGACAACUAACCAACCACCUUCCUAUUGCAAAUGAAUUUUUCAGGCUAUUUGCAAGAGUUGUGAAUAAUAAUCUCGAAGAUUUUAAUGUAUAUAAAUGUAUUAACCCACUAUCUAUCGGCAAAUAAGAUAACACAUUGGGGAUUGAGCCUGUGGCCAACUGAUGAAAGCCCUUGCAUUUGCAGUAUUACGAACUGGGUGACAAAUCACAAGCGGCGCUCUCUGAGAAGUGAGAUCCAAAAACACAUAUGCAAUUAUCGCCUAUCAACAAAACGCCAACAUAUAUGAACAGAUAGUCAGUGAGACCAGUUUGUAACUAGAAGUUCCUCUAGAUUAACUAGCUAACUGUAUCACUAACUGCCUUAAGAUGCAUGUCCUUUAAAGACCACUAGAUGUUUGAUACAAAAGUACUAUAUUAAAGUAAUGUUUUGUAAAAAUAUAUAUAUUUUUAAAAAAUGCAUAAUUUUGUUUCACUGCCUGUCUACCUGUAUAUCACAUGUUGUAUGUUUUUUGGUUGAAUACUUAAAAAUGUACUGCUAGCUUCUUAAGAGUACCAACUCUAGCUUUAAGCCAUCAAAUGUUGAUGCUACAGAGCAACUUUUAUAGAGACUAGACGACAUACAUGUUUACAUAUGGUAAUAUUACACAAACAAAUCUGUGGCUCAGUCAUGUUUAAUUUUUAAGUAUUAGCUCAUUUAGGAAAGUACAGGCAAGAUACUUUGGUGUGCCAAAAUAAUCGUUUCAGUGUUUCUACAUAGAUCUGCUAGUGAAAUACUGUUUAAGGGUUUGUAGCACCUGUUGCACAAGCUUGUUACAACAAGUAUAUAUUGUACUUGAAUUUUACAAAAGAAAGGUUUGCGUAAAUCAUCCAGAGUAUGAAUCCCACAGCAGUGUGUUUAUAGAGUGUGGUGGGUGCGUCCUGGUGUCUUUUUCAGCAUGUACAGACGAGAGCUAACAAUACAAAAUGAGUUAUUGCGACAGUGGUUGGUUUAAUUAUGGGUUGUGAAUUCAUAUUUUCCCAAAUGAAAUAUGACUUUUGAGUUUUUGGUUUGUUUUUUAUUUUUGUUCAACUGAAUCUAAUCUGUAUGAUUGUAUGCAUUGUAACCAUACUGAUUUUUCUUCCAAAUGAAAUUAAAGAAAUAAAAAUUGCAAUGUUAUUGUCAUAUUUGUAUUUGUAGAUUGACUUAUUGAUUUAUUUUCUUUUUUUGGGUUAUUAUGAUGAAUUUAGGUUUAAUCAAAAAUAAAUAUUACAUAUAAAUAUCUAAAAUAUCCCAGGAAACAGUGACCAACCCAGUGAUUCCCACAAAGAAGUUUCUACUGUACAGUAG